rnacentral:rRNA from 1 species
GGUAACGUAGCUAACGCGUGAAGUUGACCGCCUGGGGAGUACGGUCGCAAGAUUAAAACUCAAAGGAAUUGACGGGGACCCGCACAAGCGGUGGAUGAUGUGGAUUAAUUCGAUGCAACGCGAAAAACCUUACCUACCCUUGACAUGUAUGGAAUCCUGCUGAGAGGUGGGAGUGCCCGAAAGGGAGCCAUAACACAGGUGCUGCAUGGCUGUCGUCAGCUCGUGUCGUGAGAUGUUGGGUUAAGUCCCGCAACGAGCGCAACCCUUGUCCCUAGUUGCUACGCAAGAGCACUCUAGGGAGACUGCCGGUGACAAACCGGAGGAAGGUGGGGAUGACGUCAAGUCCUCAUGGCCCUUAUGGGUAGGGCUUCACACGUCAUACAAUGGUCGGAACAGAGGGUCGCCAACCCGCGAGGGGGAGCCAAUCCCAGAAAACCGAUCGUAGUCCGGAUCGCACUCUGCAACUCGAGUGCGUGAAGCUGGAAUCGCUAGUAAUCGCGGAUCAGCAU